CCUACGGGUGGCUGCAGUGGGGAAUAUUGGACAAUGGGCGAAAGCCUGAUCCAGCCAUGCCGCGUGUGUGAAGAAGGCCUUCGGGUUAUAAAGCACUUUCAGUGGGGAAGAAAGCCUUGGGGCUAAUACCCUCGAGGAAGGACAUCACCCACAGAAGAAGCACCGGCUAACUCCGUGCCAGCAGCCGCGGUAAUACGGAGGGUGCGAGCGUUAAUCGGAAUUACUGGGCGUAAAGCGCGCGUAGGCGGUCUGAUAAGCCGGUUGUGAAAGCCCCGGGCUCAACCUGGGAACGGCAUCCGGAACUGCCAGGCUAGAGGGUGGGAGAGGGAGGUAGAAUGCCCGGUGGAGCGGUGAAAUGCGUAGAGAUGCGGAGGAAAACCAGUGGCGAAGGCGACCCAAUGGGACGGUACUGACGCGGAUGUGCGAAAGCGUGGGGAGCAAACAGGAUUAGAUACCCUAGUAGUC
rnacentral:rRNA from 1 species